AAUCAACGCUGGCGGCGUGCCUAACACAUGCAAGUCGAACGCGAAAGCCCCUUCGGGGGCAAGUAGAGUGGCGUCCGGGUGAGUAACACGUGGGUAAUCUACCUCCGGGUGGGGAAUAACUCGCCGAAAGGUGGGCUAAUACCGCAUAAUGCAGCGGCACCGAAUGGUGAUUAGUUGUUAAAGCGGGGGACCUUAGGGCCUCGCGUCUGGAGAGGAGCCUGCGGCAGAUUAGCUUGUUGGAGGGUAAUGGCCUACCAAGGCUGCGAUCUGUAGCUGGUCUGAGAGGACGGCCAGCCACACUGGCACUGACACACGGGCCAGACUCCUACGGGAGGCAGCAGUGGGGAAUCUUGGUCAAUGGGCGCAAGCCUGAACCAGCGACGCCGCGUGAGUGAUGAAGGCCU
rnacentral:rRNA from 1 species